AGAGUUUGAUCCUGGCUCAGAGUGAACGCUGGCGGCGCGCCUAACACAUGCAAGUCGAGCGAGAUUCUGCAGAGUAUCGUAGAGUUUAGCGGCAGACGGGUGAGUAACACGUAGGAAACCUCCCUCAGAAUGUGGAAUAUCUCCGAGAAAUCGGAGUUAAUACCGCAUAAGACCACAGUUUGGCAUCAAACAGGGGUCAAAGCAGUAAUGCGUUUUGAGAUGGUCCUGCGACCUAUCAGCUAGUUGGUAGGGCAACGGCCUACCAAGGCUACGACGGGUAUCCGGUCUGAAAGGAUGAACGGACACACUGGAACUGAGACACGGUCCAGACUCCUACGGGAGGCAGCAGUGGGGAAUUUUGGACAAUGGGGGCAACCCUGAUCCAGCGACGCCGCGUGGAGGACGAAGGCCUUCGGGUUGUAAACUCCUUUUGGAGGGGAAGAAAAAAAUGACGGCACCCUCAGAAAAAGCCACGGCUAACUACGUGCCAGCAGCCGCGGUAAUACGUAGGUGGCGAGCGUUACUCGGAAUUACUAGGCGUAAAGCGUAUGUAGGCGGUUAGAUAAGUCUUUAGUGAAAUUUCUCGGCUCAACCGGGAAAGGUCUAAGGAUACUGUUUGACUUGAGUGUGGGAGGGGGAGACGGAAUUCCUGGUGUAGCGGUGAAAUGCGUAGAUAUCAGGAGGAACACCGAGGGCGAAAGCAGUCUCCUGGACCAAUACUGACGCUAAUGUACGAAAGCUAGGGUAGCAAACAGGAUUAGAUACCCUGGUAGUCCUAGCUGUAAACGAUGUU
rnacentral:rRNA from 1 species